UACAGAGGGGGCCAGCGUUAUUCGGAAUUAUUGGGCGUAAAGGGCUCGUAGGUGGCCAACUAAGUCAGACGUGAAAUCCCUCAGCUUAACUGGGGAACUGCGUCUGAUACUGGAUGGCUUGAGUUUGGGAGAGGGAUGCGGAAUUCCAGGUGUAGCGGUGAAAUGCGUAGAUAUCUGGAGGAACACCGGUGGCGAAGGCGGCAUCCUGGACCAACACUGACACUGAGGAGCGAAAGCCAGGGGAGCAAACGGG
rnacentral:rRNA from 1 species